rnacentral:rRNA from 1 species
UCGGGAAUUUUGGACAAUGGGCGAAAGCCUGAUCCAGCAAUGCCGCGUGAGUGAAGAAGGCCUUCGGGUUGUAAAGCUCUUUUGUCAGGGAAGAAACGGUGAGAGCUAAUAUCUCUUGCUAAUGACGGUACCUGAAGAAUAAGCACCGGCUAACUACGUGCCAGCAGCCGCGGUAAUACGUAGGGUGCAAGCGUUAAUCGGAAUUACUGGGCGUAAAGCGUGCGCAGGCGGUUUUGUAAGUCUGAUGUGAAAUCCCCGGGCUCAACCUGGGAAUUGCAUUGGAGACUGCAAGGCUAGAAUCUGGCAGAGGGGGGUAGAAUUCCACGUGUAGCAGUGAAAUGCGUAGAUAUGUGGAGGAACACCGAUGGCGAAGGCAGCCCCCUGGGUCAAGAUUGACGCUCAUGCACGAAAGCGUGGGGAGCAAACAGGAUUAGAUACCCCCGUAGUCCCUGAGCGGGCUGGCAAGGCGCAU